UAUCUGACUGUUUUGUUUCGCUUAAUGCGCCUUAUAAUCCAGUGCACCUUAUGGUCCGAAAAAUAGGGUAAUUCAAUAUCUAAUUUAAGAACAAUUUAUUUUUUAUGUACUGAUACAUGAAAAUUUGCAACUACAAGACAUAAUACUUUUUUUGUUGUGACUGUCUGUGCAUGAAGUGUGUUGGACAAACAGUGAAUGAUUUUGUUGAGUUUGUUUGUCUCAGAGUCAGAGAGCCGUGUCUCUCUACAGUCAGAGGUUUUUGUACGGCGCCUCAAUGAGUUUGUAUCACCGUGGUUCACGUUCGGUGGAGGAACCAGACUGGAAUUUGGAAAUGACACCCGUCCCACCCUGACAGUGCUGCCCCCCUCCGUUAAGGAGCUGGAGCAGGGGAAGGCCACAUUAACAUGUCUGGCCAACAAGGGCUUCCCCUCAGACUGGACUCUGUCCUGGAAGGUGGAUGGAAGAAGCAGCAGUGACGGGGAGGAGAGCAGGAGCCCUGGAGUGCUGCAGAAUGACGCCCUGUAUAGUUGGAGCAGCACCCUGAGGAUCACUGCAGACCAGUGGAUGAAGGUGGGCUCUGUGACCUGUGAGGCCACCAAGGACUCCCAACCUCUGGUCUCAAAGAUACUGAGCAGAGAUCAGUGUUCACAUUUGUGACCUGACUCACUGAGACUCUGCUGCUGCCCUCAGUCUGUUCUCUCUCUGUCUCUGUUUCACUCUGAAUUCAAAUCUCAUGUUUUACUGCUUGUAGUAUUGCUAAUGAUUAAAAAAAUAAAAAAU